rnacentral:lncRNA from 1 species
AAAAUUAGUAUUUUAAGGUUUUGCUCUUCAGACUGUCCUCAGCCGUGAUCCAUGUGUUUCAAUGAGGGUCAUAUAUAGGAAUUGUUCUAGUACCUGGUGAAAGUCCUUUCAAAACUUAACAUUAAAGCUGAAUUUAAUGCUCUACAUUCUUAUUCCUCCUAGGACAAAACCUAUCAAUGCCCCAGAAAUUCCCGAGGAAAUGAGCUUGACAUCCUUCCACAUUGGGAAGGAAUCAUGCAGUCACAAAUGCCACCAGGCAACUUCUGUGGUUGGACCCUCCUGUCUGUCCCAUAAAAUCUCAAGGUUCAACAGUGACAGUGACCUUCCUUUAAAGGGCUGCAGCAAACAUUGAAGACUUUCUCUCAAUUCACUCUACUCAGAAAACCAUCUGUUAAGUCUGUUAUGAUUUUGGGGUGAGGAUGGAAAAGUAGAGCUUAAAGUAUGGCUGUUCUGUUUAAAAAAAAAAUAAAAUCUGUCUUUUCUGA